CUGCCUCUGUCAACUCUUUAUCAACCCGGUUGAAAUUGUUGACUUUCCUAAAUAAGAGAAAAAGAUUCACGUGAGUCUGUUUUCUUUUGGGCUCCUUCUCUUUUAAUCAUGCUCAAGCCCUUUUGAUUUUUCUAGAGCCAUGGGCUGCUUGCUUUUUUUUCUUUUUUGAGGCCCAAGUUUAUUCGUAGAGUCUAGAGUGCUUGGGCCCUGUGGUUUGCCUUGUUGUUUUUGGUCUUUUUGGGCUGGGUGUGCCAAAUUAGGCCCAAACACAAAAUAAAAUCAAAAGAAAAAAAAAAAGAAAAAAGCUUUAUAAAAUUUAUAAUUAAAAAAAAAAACCUAGCCCCUUCCCUAUAGACCCAUCCCACCACCUGACCAAGACCUUCGCAGGGGUGGGUGCGGUCCGGUUUGGUCCGGCUCGCAGCUCACACUAGAAUCGAAACUGGUACUAUUCAUCCGAUCCGGUUCGGUCUGAUUUUUGAAAAAAAACAAGAGAGAAACCGGAUUAAGCCUAACUGAUUAUUUUCGGUCCGAUUUUUUGGUUUGAACCGGUUCUCUAGCAAGUCACAGUAGACAAUAAGGAAAAAAAAACAUAAAUUUAGUUAAACAAUUCUUACUUUUCUGCUAAUGUUGUAAAGUCAAGGAUGGAUCCCAAAAUGGUAGAGCCCACUACCUAAUUGAUUGAAGAACAUCAUGAUGAAAGUACUGUGGGAAGGCAUCAUUACACAUUCACGGGAAGCCAAGAAACUUUGCCUAUAAGUGGACUUCCUCCCUUCAUUGUAAUUGACUGAGAACAAACAUUCAAUGAAGAGAUCAGUUUCUAUACUUUCUCUAUAUCUCAAUUCCCUCUCUACAAUUUUCUCUAGAUUUAUAACACGUUAUCAGCACGAAUAUCUCUAAAAUACCAGCUGGGAUAUUCGAUCAAAGUACUUUGCUCCAUUGUUUCCUUUCUUGGGUUUGGUUGAGUUGCUCAUACUCUUCUGUGUAUCAAUAUAGCUUAUGUGAAGCUUUGUUCCCACUGUCUCAGAUUUUUGUUUCUCUCUCUCUGUCUUUAACACUUCCAGCCCCAAUAAUGGAAGCUUUUCUGGCUAAGCUCUUUUGGCAUCACUUCGAUCAAGGCUACCCAUGCAGAGCUCCAAAUAGUCCAAAACCCACUACUACAACAACCCACUUUACUAGAGAGAGAAAUUAUGCAAUUGAUGCCCUUCUUGCUCCAUAAUUUCCAGCGCCUUGGCCUCUGCAAAGUUCAUGAAUGACAACAAGUAGUACUGACGGGAAAAAGAAGAUGCGGGUGCCUUUGCUUGGGCUUUGAUUGCAAAAUUGGUCAAUAAAAAAAGAAACAACACCGAAAGGGGGCACAGCUUUGGGUCCUGAAGAUUAUUGGUACCUUUUGUUCUCGUCCACACAGCUUUCUCAGGGAAGUGCUAAAGCAAAGCUCUCUGCCUCCUUAUUCUUUCAAUUAUUUCAUUAUUAUCCUACACUAUUUAACAUCAAUAAUAGUACAGGUGUGCUGGUUACAAGUGGAAAGGCAGAGCAAGCGUGAUAUUUAUCUAUCAUGCACUAGUUUCCUUCGCUUGCCUAUUAUAUAUAGUAAUUCUAUGGACGGUUUCACCUCUUAUAUUUUUUGUGGUGGUUUUAUCCCCAUAUUUAUUUUAUUUACUGUAUAGUGUAGGUUUAUUACCCAUACAACAGUAUCUAUUUAAAAGGAUAGCGCGGGUUUAUCGUCCACGCCUUUAUUUUUAUGUAUGGAGCAGAUUUAUUAUCCAUACAACAGUAUCUAUUUAAAAGGGUGGCGCAGGUUUAUCGUCCACGCCUUUAUUUUUAUGUAUGGAGCAGAAUUAUUGCCCAUACAACAGUAUCUAUUUAAAAGGGUGGCGCGGGUUUAUCGUCCAUGCCUUUACUUUUAUUUAAAUGUAUGGAGCAAAAUUAGUGCCCAUACAAGCAUGUUUACUUUACCGCAAAUUUACUUUUACUUAAAGUAUGAUGUGGAAUUAACCCUCAUACUUUAUGAAUUUAUUUUACUGCACAUUUACAUUUAUUUAAAGUAUGGUGAGGGUUUAUCGUCCAUAACAGUAAUUUAUUUAAAAGCAAUUUAUUUUAUGGAUUAAUUGUGUGGUAUGAUGAGUUUUUUCAGUAUACAGAUCAGGACCAGAAGUUCCUUGAUCCUCAUCAUACAAUUACAUCAGGACUUGAAGAUCCUUGAUGAUGAUAUUGAUAUGAGAGCUGGCAGUCUCUCCGGUACUAUAUUUAUAAACAUGUAAUUGGACUUGAGGGUCCUUGAUCCCUGACAUGUAAAUAAGGACCUGGGGUUCCUUAAUGAUGUAACAGUACCGUAUUGGUUAAUAGUGCCGUACACAUGGAUAAUAAUUGUACUGGCAAGUGUACUGUACACAUGAAUAGAUACGUAUUCAUGACUUGAUGAAUAGUACCGGAUAUAUGAAUAGUGACGUAUACAUAAAUAUUAACCAUUUUGGGUAAACCGUCACUAUAUACAAAAGGGAACCGGCAACUCCUUAAACUCAUGGAUGAGCAAUUAAAUGAGAUGCCAGAAGUUCCUCAAAAUAUGGACAAUUAUGUUAGGGCUUGAAGUCCCGAAAUAUGUACAGAAAAUUGUAAAAAUGUCCAUACCAUGAGAAUAUGUGAUUUUGGCCUGAGGUUCAAAAUCUAACAGUGUUGAGAACCUAAAGUUCCAACAAUUAAAUGGACAACCCUUGAGGUGUUAUUGCAAAUUGUUGUACGCCACAUAUUUCUUUGGCAUAAGAGAAUGAUGAAUUUAAUAAAGUUCGAUUAUGUUAUAAUCGACACCUCAAGGAAGAAAUAUAUUUUGUGAAUUCCGAUUGUUCAGAAUACACCGUGAAUUGGAUAAUAUCAGUAUAAACCUCAAAUGAUGAAUAGAGGCUUCCCACAUAUUUUGUUAUAUCUGGGCCGGAAGCCCAUGGACCCAAAUAUAUGAGAGAUCCUGAACUUGAAGUUGUGGGUAUAUAGUAGUUAAUGCUCUUCACUACUAUAUUGCGAUAUUAGCAUGGCUUUUACUCAAUCCGUAUUUCACGUCCAUUUGAAAAAGGCGAAUAAAUUCUGAGUUUGUGUUUAGCCCGGGCCAGAAGUUACCGGCUCACAUGCGUUGAAAUAUGAAAUUUGGGAGAGUCGAUGUGGUUAUUUGAACCUAUAAGGCACAAGGUUCCAAACCGUCAUUUUGAAAAGACGUAAAAACUACAGGUGCAAGUUUAAGAACGUGCGCAAUUAUUAUAACAGGAAAGGAGCCUACAACAUAUAGAUUUUUUCCACCUGUAAUGAAGGUGUAGGCCCUUAAAAUCUAUAAAAUUAUAUUAUGUUCUGGAAGCCUCUGAAGGAAGAGGACGGCGCCUCUUAAGCUUAGCCAUAAGCCUCUCGUGGUCUCCCAAAAUUCUUUCAUUGGAGACCUGCAGCAUGUCUAGCCUUCUCAGUGUAUCAACGGAGUACGAACUCACCAGUUUCAACGAGGCAUUAUUCUCUCCUUUAAGUUUCUCAACCUCCUGUUGAGACUCAUGAAGCAUUCUUUGAAGAGACGAAUUUUCAGUUGUUAGCUUCUGAACCUCGUUUGCUUUGGCACGCAAACGAUCAGCCAUGUUAGAAACAGAAGCAGCACUCUGAAUGCUAGAAGCCAUUGAGUCAUCAAUAGCCUCUUCCUCAAACCUUCCUGUUAACAGUAUUUCAUCCAUUGGAGUAAUGAAAUUCCUAGCUACUAUGACAGCAGUAGCAUCAUUCAUCAUCACAGAAUCAUUAACUGUGAGAUGACGAUUUUGGGAUACAAAGGAUGGAAGCCAAAUUUUGGCGUCACUGGUUGUUGUGGGAGCAUCAUUUAAACUGAAAUAAUUUGGGCAGGAAGAAGAGGAAGCCAUUUUAAGAAGGUUUCGAAGAAAGUCUUAGAAAAACUAAAGUUUCAUAAAAUGAAGGAAGUUGAGUUGAAAUGCAGUUGCUCCAAUCAAGUUUUGUAGAGGCAAUAUCUAUAGACGGAAAUGUAGCAAUGUUUCCAGGAUCCCAAUAUCUUCUCGGAUCCCCAUAUUCUCUUUUUCUUUCCCAGAUUCCAAAACUUCACGCGGCCUGUAAUAAUGUUUGUCAGCACUUUCGGCAUUUUCAAGUAUUAUUUUCGUCAAAGCUGAUCUUGCUUUGCGGAUUUCACGGAGCUAUUUUUUCAAAAGCACCCCAAGAAUCUCGCAAUUUUCCUAUGGUUAAUUUGAAAUUCACCGGUUCUACCUAUUCCUCUUAUUUGUGUAUAAAUGUGUUACUAACAAAAUUUUCUUUGCAGAAGACAUCCAGUUUUCUCCAUACCUAGUGAUGCGAUAUCUACUUGUUUUCUUAUCAGUGAGCACUCAAUAUGCCCGAGAAGCAAGACUAUCUCUUAUCAUCUAUUAAGGAAGCGAGACUAUCCCUGAUCACGUUUCCGCUACAUCAGGGAAUUGUGAAGGCGACCUUAUGCUCUAAUCUCCUGAGAUCCUUCUAGACUAGGAGAAAUGAGAGUUUGUUGUCUGCUCCCACCAGCUUCCUUCCCUGAUUGCUUACCUUAUCUUGCAAUCAAUAUCACAAUUUUUUUUUUUGCAUUUUUUCUCUUUUGUAACUCUCUGUUCAUAAGGGAUUUUAUUUCUUUAGAACGAACAUCCGAAGAAAGAAUCCAUGCAGUGAUCCUAACUCUAAGGGUUAUUUGUUUUUGACAGAGAGAAGAAUUGUGAUUUUUGCCCUUGCAGGAUAUAACUAGAUCAUCAAGCGCUACAUUAUAUUUACUGCGCCGAUACGAGCUUGAAUGAUACUUGAGAAAAGUUUCUCCCACCUAAGGAUGUAAGCAAUACUUGUGUUAUUUUAUGCUUAUAUACUUAUUUGAUAUUUUAUCUUGAAAGGUAACCAAAUGGGGAGAUAAGUCCGUUCCAAAAGAAUGGCUUGUAUGUAUCCAUGAAUUAUUAACGCAAAUUUUACAGAUUGCAAGUUGGAUACAUUGAUAAUACACUGCACAGAUUAAAGUCCCAUAAAAUAUAACAUGGGUAUAGCAGUGAUCAAUAUGAUGCACGCCUGUUGCGUAGCAAAUGAUGUGGAUUAAAGUCCCGAAAGGACAAUCCUUUGACAUGUCAAUAUUGAUAUUGUGCACGCCUAAUGCGUAGAAAAUUGUAUGGGUUAAAGUCCCAGAAAUUAAUUGACAUGUAUGUAUUAAUCUGUGGCAUGCCUGCAGCAUGACAGAUGUAUGAGUUCUAAAUGUUCCAACUCCCUAAAUGGAGAUUAUCCACGCCCUACUGUAAAAUAACGCUCUAUUGGAGGUUAUAAUCCACAUUCUCACAUAAUAAAAGCCCCCUGAAGUGGCUUGGGUACCCAAAGGCAAAGAAAUGCUUAUAAUUGAUGCAUGUGCAUGCGCAUGAGAAUGGUGGGAUCUUGAAUUGAUGAAUGACAAUUUUUGGUUUUGGAGUAGCUACUCAAAUCAUCAAUGGGCUGUGUUGAUUGGAACUACGUUCAGUUAUUAAAUGUCGACAAUAUCAUUGGCCAAAAUGGAAUGAGGCAAUUCCAUUAUAGAUGAGAAUGAACGUGAAAGAACAAACCCACAGUACGAACCCUAAAAGAUGUUAAUAUUGAAAGUUAUCCUUGGGUGUUCGGAAUAAAAGGGAAUAUACCUACUUUGUAUGACACAAUGUUUAUGGCAGAAACAAGGAAUGUUGGGUUUUCUCCAUAUUUACAGAUUCAAUUGUGCCCCCUUAUUGCACAUUUACGGAGACCAACAUGUUAUCUUUAAGGGUUAUUAAAUGCAUGGAGCAUAUCACCAGAAGUGAUUCCCUAAAGAUGUAUAAAUAGCUGGGUUAAAGCUAUGUAUGUGUCAUAAAGUUUAAUCCCUUUAAACAAAAUCCUUGAAAGGAUUGAAAUUGCAUGAAGCAAGUCCCUGAAGGACAUGUGCCUGAAGCACAAAAUCUGUACUCAAUACUAAUGUGCAUAAAUUGCCUCAAUGAGUACAUUGAUUAUAAUAUGUUUGCAACACAUUAAAGCUUAUGAAGAGUUUAAGAAAUAUUUGUCUCGACCUAACGAUCGAGCGUUGUGCCAAUGAGAUUUUUUUUUGCUUAUACUAAGAAAGUAUUGAAGCACUUUUUUGAGGAUUAUCCGUUGGGCACUUAAAUGUUUUUCUGGAAGUAUACUAGACUGGAUAGAGCUCAGCUCCAUCACCACCACUUUGGGAUGAUGUGAGGCAUAUUUGAUGCUAUCUCCGCAUGACAUCAUAUACGGGUAUGUUCUUUUCGAGUAAACUUACUAAUAGCCCAAGUGUUAUUGGAUAUGCGGACUCUGGAAAUUUCUAUGGUCGCUUACUGGAAAAAGUUAGUCAUGAAGUUUUCAGGGGGAGAUAUUCAUCAGGAGGAGUGUGGUACUAUUAAUAACGACCUUCACACACUGUACUCUUUUUCCUUCGUCCAGGUUUUUAUCCCACUGGGUUUUUCCUGGCAAGGUUUUAACGAGGCAAUGUCGUACGCGUGUUAGUAUGCACAGAAUUUUUAUGUUACACAUGGUUAUGUACACUUUUUCCCUUCGACCAGUUUUUUGUCCCAUUGGGUUUUUACUGGCAAGGUUUUUAACGAGGCAUAUUCCAUACCAUUUGUGGUCUCCAAGGGGGAGUGUUGUAAAGUCAAGGAUGGAUCCCAAAAUGGUAGAGCCCACUACCUAAUUGAUUGAAGAACAUCAUGAUGAAAGUACUAUGGGAAGGCAUCAUUACACAUUCACGGGAAGCCAAGAAACUUUGCCUAUAAGUGGACUUCCUCCCUUCAUUGUAAUUGACUGAGAACAAACAUUCAAUGAAGAGAUCAGUUUCUAUGCUUUCUCUAUAUCUCCAUUCCCUCUCUACAAUUUCCUCUAGAUUUAUAACAGCUAAAAAAUAUUUGAUUUUUCCUUCCAUAUUCUCAGAUGGCUCGACAAAAAAAUAACCCAAACAAUUAGAUAUAAUGAAACUCACAAAAAAAAAAAGAAAAAAAGAAUACAACACCAGAUUUGUCCUUACAUGAGACUUUGAUGCUUAAAUCUAGUCCUAGGAUCUUUGUUACUAGCAUAUGAAGAAGGCUCCAUCGCAAGAACUCCUUUCAUCCUCUUCAUAAGAUCACACAUAGAGAAAGAGUGAGAGAGUGAAGUUGCAGAGAAGAAAAAAAAAAGGGCAAAGAGAGAGUGAAGUCGCAGAGAAGAAGAAGAAAAAAGAAGAAAAGAAAAGGGAACGAAAGAAAGGAAAGAAAAGGAAAGAGGGAUUGAGAGAGAGAGAAGUCGCAGAGAAGAAGAAGAAGAAGAAAUAAAAAAAAAAGAAAAUGGAGAGGAAGAAAAGAAAAAGAAAUGGGAAA
rnacentral:lncRNA from 1 species